CUGACCUCAACCCAAUUGAGAUGGUUUAGGAUGAGUUGGACUGCAGAGUGAAGGAAAAGCAACCAACAAAUGCUCAGCAUAUGUGGGAACUCCUUCAAGACUGUUGGAAAAGCAUUUCAGGUGACUACCUCAUGAAGUCAGUUGCAAGAAUGCAAAGCUGUCAUCAAAGCAAAGGUGGCUACUUUGAAGAAUCUUAAAAACAUAUUUUCAUUUGUUUAACAUAUUUUUGAUUACUAUACGACUCCACACACACACACAGUUUUGAUGUAUUCUAUUAUUCUACAAUGUAGAAAAUAGUAAAAAUAAAGAAAAACCCUUUGAGUAGGUGUCCAAACUUUUGACUGGUACUGUAUAAAAUUGCAUAGUGGCUCAGCCCAGCCGGCCCCGCAAGGUGGCUCGGCCCAGCCGGCCCCGCAAGGUGGCUCGGCCCAGCCGGCCCCGCAAGGUGGCUCGGCCCAGCCGGCCCCGCAAGGUGGCUCGGCUCAGCCGACGCCGCAAGGUGGCUCGGCUCAGCCGGCGCCGCAAGGUGGCGCAGCCGGCCCACAAGGUGGCGCAGAGUCCCUCUUAUAUUAUUUAGGGGAGAACCAUGAUAUUUCGAAAGUAAAUUAUAAAAACCACAGAGACACUCUUCAAAUUCCCCUUUUCAAUCAAGUAAAAUGAAAAAAAAAAAAAACAUUAUUUCCCCAACCGAAUACGUUGUAAAAUCAGUGUUCUGCAACUGUGUACAUGACAACCAGUAUUUACAUACCAAGGUCCAGCCUCUAAUUUGGGUUGAACAACAUAAAACACGUCCUGUACGCAACUAGUCAGUCGAAUAGAAUUUGAAAUCUCCACGGUACACAAAAAUAAAAGUAAAACUCGCAGUAAAUAUAACGACUAAAACACGAUAUAACAAGAGAUAUUAAUCUGUAUAAAAACCUGAGGUAUAUGUGCUGUCAGAGGGUAAACAGUUGAGAA
ensembl:lncRNA